rnacentral:rRNA from 1 species
GUGGCCAUAGCACUUCUGAAACAGCGGUUCUCGUCUGGUUAGGGAGGUUAAGCAACUUUGAACGUGGUUAAUUCUUGAGUGGCUGACAAACUCGGAAUACUGUUCACGUU